rnacentral:lncRNA from 1 species
CUAAAAACCAGUAAAAGUGCUUGGGACUAUGAACUCAUUAAUUUUAGGGAAGAGUAUAGUGUGAAAAUGUCAGAAAUUGAAAGAGAAAAAAACAGACAAAUAGAGGAUGUAAAGCAAAGAAGACUGAACAUGGAAGAAUCAUGUCAUAUUCUGGAAGACAAAUGGAAACAUCCUUGGCUGAAAAAAAUAGUUUAAAGCAACAGGUAACAAUUUAACUAGAUAAAAGUGAUCUUGUUCAUGUAUUUUUUUGCAUGUUAACUUUUUAUACAUUGUGAUUUGGAUGGAGAAGUGUCUCAUUGGCACGCAUACCACAUCUUAUUUAUAUUUGAAUACUUUCAUCAAACUUUUAUUGAAAAAGUCACCUUUAAAAAAAAAAUAGUGAUAAAAACAUUAAAAAAAAAACAAUUGAGACAUGAUGACAAAGCUAUACAUUUUGUAUGAAGCCAUUCUUAGAUUGCGUGCACGAUCAACGGUUUGACAAGCCUAUUAUAUUGCUCAAAGACCAUUCAAUUCUUAUAAUUACAUAUUUUUGCUAGGAUGAAGGAAAAAACAAUCUCUAUCAUUUUUUUGUAUAUAUUUACCUGUACAUAUAAAGCAUGUGCUAUCAUGGGUGUUACAUAUCAUUGUGCUAUGAAGAAUGACGUGAGAUUGUUGUUAGCCAAUCAAAAUAACAGAUUUAUAUGUUGAAAUAUACUAGUACUGUAAUGUAAUUAUUUGGAUUAAAAGGGUGUGUUUUUUUUACCUGCGUCACCAACGGUGAAAGCAGGUCUAGUAACCGCUCGACUCCGUCCGUCAUUCCGUCCGUCCGAAAGACUUGCAUAUCAACUUUAGUCAAAGAUUUCUUGGCUUCUAUGAAAGGGAAUGAUUUUAUAUUUGGUCCAGAGCUUGAUCAUGUUGAGUUGUAAAGUGUAAGCAAUUUUUAGAUCUGCGAUGCAGCCACUUCCUGUUUGCUGAUAGUUUGAAAUUUAGCUACUCAGUGUACAAGGAAAAUUUUUCGUCAAAGUUUUCUUGGCUUCUAUGAAAGGGAAUGAUUUUAUAUUUGGUCCAGAGCUUGAUCAUGUUGAGUUGUAGUGUGUAAGCAAUUUUAAGAUUUGCGGUGCAGCCACUUCCUGUUUGCCGAUAGUUUGAAAUUUAGCUACUCAAUGUACAAGGAAAAUUUUUCGUCAAAGUUUUCUUGGCUUCUAUGAAAGGGAAUGAUUUUAUAUUUGGAACAGAGCUUGACUAUGUUGAGUUGUAGGGUGUAAGAAAUUUAAAGAUCUGUGGUGCAGCCACUUCCUGUUUGCCGAAAGUUUGAAAUUUAGCCACUUAUUGUACAAGGAAAAUUUUUAGACAAAAUUUUUUGGUUUCUAUUGAAGGAAUUGUUUUAGAUUUUCUGUAGAGCAAAUAUAUGCAGUGACGCAGGUCCAGACCAGUAUUGGUCUUGAAUGCUGGAUACUAUCCAUGCAUGUCUGUGUCCACACAGUAAAUUAAUUAUAAAUUUCCGGAUCUGCAUUAUUCAUCAUACGUAGCUGUUAUAGUUUUAAAUGAUAAAAGCAAACAGUUUUACAAUUUUUUUUCUAAUUAUUCAUUUGACAAUAUAUAGUUUUCUUAUUAUUUCAGUGAGACGUUUCAAUAUUUCAUCACAUGAACACUGGGACAUCUAUAGAAACAAGUGGG